rnacentral:rRNA from 1 species
UACGUAGGGUGCGAGCGUUGUCCGGAAUUACUGGGCGUAAAGAGCUCGUAGGUGGUUUGUCGCGUUGUUCGUGAAAACUCACAGCUUAACUGUGGGCGUGCGGGCGAUACGGGCAGACUGGAGUACUGCAGGGGAGACUGGAAUUCCUGGUGUAGCGGUGGAAUGCGCAGAUAGUCAGGAGGAACACCGGUGGCGAAGGCGGGACUCUGGCGAGUAACUGACGCUGGAGGAGCGAAAGCGUGGGGAGCGAACAGG